rnacentral:rRNA from 1 species
AUGCGUGCAGGCAUAGAGGAGGUAUUUCCGUUGGCAGUGCACAGGCACUGCAGGUGGCACAAUAUAAAGAAGGCUGAAGAGACACUAGGACCAUUCUUUGCUGACCGUCUAGAGCUCCACAAGGCGUUCGAGCUGUGCGUGGACCACAUCUUGACGGUGGAGGAGUUUGAAAGGAGCUGGAUGGCCAUGAUUGAAACAUAUCAAGUCCAAGACAACGAGACGCUUGCUAACCUGUGGGAGAAGUGCAUGUACUGGGUGCCGGCCUACUUCAUGCAGUGCUUCUUCCCCUUUUUGCAGACUACGCAGCGCAGCGAGGGGUUCAAUGCUGUUUUGAAGCGGUACGUGAGCCCUGGCAACUCAUUUCUACAGUUUGCCAAGCAGUACACAGUUUGCAACAAAAAAUUCUGGGAUCUGAGCUACAGCAAGAAGCGACCACAACACUAA